rnacentral:rRNA from 1 species
AACGAACGCUGGCGGCAGGCCUAACACAUGCAAGUCGAACGCCGUAGCAAUACGGAGUGGCAGACGGGUGAGUAACGCGUGGGAAUCUACCUUUUGCUACGGAAUAGCUCCGGGAAACUGGAAUUAGUACCGUAUGUGCCCUUAGGGGGAAAGAUUUAUCGGCAAGAGAUGAGCCCGCGUUGGAUUGGCUAGUUGGUGGGGUAAAGGCCUACCAAGGCGACGAUCCAUAGCUGGUCUGAGAGGAUGAUCAGCCACAUUGGGACUGAGACACGGCCCAAACUCCUACGGGAGGCAGCAGUGGGGAAUAUUGGACAAUGGGCGCAAGCCUGAUCCAGCCAUGCCGCGUGAGUGAUGAAGGCCUUAGGGUUGUAAAGCUCUUUCACCGGAGAAGAUAAUGACGGUAUCCGGAGAAGAAGCCCCGGCUAACUUCGUGCCAGCAGCCGCCGUAACAC